rnacentral:tRNA from 1 species
CCUUCGAUAGCUCAGUUGGUAGAGCGGAGGACUGUAGGUUCAUCGUGACAGGUAUCCUUAGGUCGCUGGUUCAAUUCCGGCUCGAAGGA